rnacentral:sRNA from 1 species
GCAGUGAGCUAUGAUUAUGCCUGUGAAUAGCCACUGCACUCUAGCCUGGGUGACAGAGCAAGACUCUGUCUCAAAAAAAAAAAAAAAAAAAAAAAUAGGUUUAAGUAACUCCCCACCCCCAGGUGCUGGGGUUAGUGAUGUGUCUGGGCUUGAAUGGGCUCUGUCCAUUUGGUGCUGUGUUCACUGAGCCAGGUUGAGUGUGGCAUCCUGUGCUGGACCCUGGGGUUGGGGGAUGGCUAAGUGACUUCCCUGCUAUGCAGGAUUUGAUUUAUGUUCCUCCUAGAUGUCUGCAGUGCCACCCACCCCUGCCUUUGCUGCUUUGCUGCUGAAGACCCCCAGGCUGUUUUGGCCUUGGUGGGGCGAGGGCUGGGCUGCUGCGUGUCUUCCAGAUUUCAGAUUAAGAAGGCCACAUUGAGGGGCAUGGGGUGGACUGACUGGGAAAGCUAAUUAACAUCCUUUGGGGCAAAGUACAACUAAGGACAGGAAGGAGCUGAGGAAUAAAUGCCUCUUCCCGACUUUCCUGAUGUGCACUUCUGAGACCAUGGCUCAUGGAGAUGGGCCACGUGGCUGAGCAUCAGCUGGGUUUUCUUCUGAAGCCAUAGCCAGCUCAGGCACCUGCCUCACCUCCCUUCCCCUCCCUGUUGCUAGCCUAGGGUGCCCUCCUCUCACCCCCAAAGCCCUGCCAAAGAAAAUGCAUCAGCAGUGAGCUUUGUCCUGGCUCUGUUUUGCAGGGAACCUGGGCCAGAAUCAUGGUCCCCAAAGAUGACCAUGUGAUAAUCUCUGGAGCCAUUGACUAUCAUCUUACAUGACAAAGGGACAUGGCAGGUGUAGUUAAUGACCUUGCAAUGAGGAGGUCAUCCUGGAUGAUCCAAGUAGGCCCAGUGUGUUCGCUAGUGUCUGUGUAAGAGGGACAUGGGGAGCUUCGACUGCACAUGAACAUGGCAGCUUGACCCUGGAGGCAAGGUGGUAGCUUCUGGCUCUGAAGUUGGAAGAAGGGGGCCACACACUAAUGGAUGCAGGCGGCCUCUGCCUCUAGAAGUGGAAGAGACAAAUGGAUUCUCCACUGGAGAACUCAGAAGGAACCCUGGCGCCUCCAGAAGGAACCAGCCCUGCUGACACCUGGAUUUUAGCCCAGCGGAACAGAUUUUGGACUUUGACUUCUAGGACUGCAAGAGAGGUCAAAGCUGCAGAGCUGUUGGAAGCCCCUGGAUUUGUGUCAAUUUGUUACAGCAGCCACAAGCAACUAACACCAUCCCCUUCUCCAGGCUGCUGCCUCCAGCUGCAGCUGGCGGGCCCUGGCCACUGGGGCCAGGCAGGGUGGGUUUUGGUACCUGCAGCGGCAGUAUCCUUGGCCAUUUCCUGGAAGGGCCAGUUGCCAGACACUGAGAUGCCUGUUACUGCAACUGUCCCACCAGCCUGGAGCACGUGUUUCUGGAGACAGGCAAUUUCUGGAAGGCUCCACCUGCUCUCAGACUGCAGGUUGCGUCUCAAAGCAGGCUGGCAGACGUUUUCCACUCUUGAUCAAUCAUUUUCCGAAAUAAGCAUAGACACAGCAACCAGGAGAGCAGCUUCGGUUUGGCUGUCAGUGGCGUGUUAGUUACUGUAGUAGUGGCAGAGAGGCGAUGUACAUUAAAUAUUAGUUCUCACUGACUAUAGCCUUUUAAACAGAGAAGCGUGUGGGUGGCAGCAGGUGAGUUGGCUAUGCUGAGCCUGGGCUGCACUUGGUUGAUUCUCGUUUGUCAGGCAUGCAGGGGGCUCUCUGUGCGUCCAGGGGUUUUCCCUGUCUGGAUUUGCUCAUGUUCGUGGGUUUUCAGCACCUCCUUUCUUCUGGUUUGGGAAUGAGUCAGGUCCUCACUACACAAGGCCAGAGCAACAUGCGUGUGUGGGUAGGGGUGAGCAGGUGUCAUUCCCUGCCUCUCCUCCUUCACUGCCCCGGCCACCCUGACCACCUUGCUGUUCCGAGGACACACUGAGCCAGUGCCCACUGGGCGUCAGGCGAAAGGGGACAUCCAACAAGCCCACCCUCACUUCUGACACCAAUGGCAAGUUCAGGAUCUCCAACACUGCCCUGAGGUUUGAUCAUUUGCUAGAGGGACUCCCAGAACUCACUUAAAGCUGUCACACUCACAGUUACAGUUUCUGAUGGUGAAGGGAUACAGAUGAAAAUCAGCCGAGGGAAGAGUUGCCCAGGGCAGAGUUGAACGCACCCACACAGCACCUCCGUUGUCCUUUCAGCAUGGGGUCAUGGGCAGUGUUACUCUCCCGGUGAUGUGGGACAAUGCGCAUGCAGUAUUGCCAGCCAGGGAAGUCGUCUGAGCCUCUGUGUCCAGAGUUUCUCCUGGAGCUCCCUUGCAUGGGUGUGGCUGACUGUCCACAUGGCUCAUCUGUCUGCAGCCCCUCCAGCAGCUGGCUGAUAGAGUGCAACCCAAAGCCCCCUCCCUGAAUCACAUAGUUACUCUCUGGCUGGCCUGAGGGCCCCAGGUAAGCAGAGGUACUUUAUCUGGCAGGGCAUUUCGGAGUUUAGGAGAUCACCUCCCAGGGGCUGAGGUCACAGGCCCAACCUUUCUGUGGGCAAGGUUAGGUUCAUUAUCACGUACCUGGUCUUUGGACUUUCAAAGGCCCAUGCCUGGAGCUGUCUUCUCCACUUCUUUCAGUUUUCUCUCAAUGCUUCCUCCUUGGAGAUGUAUUUCCUGCCCCUGUCACUCCAUCACUCUCCUAACCCCAGUUACUUUUUCUUUGCUGGGCUUGCUGCUGCCUGGAGUCAUUUCCUAUUUGCUAGUUUGUUUUUGGUCUUUCUCCCCCGCUAGAAUGUAAUCUUAUGCUGUGAGGGACCAUGACCAUUCUCUUCCCAGCUAAAUCCCCAGAGCUGGAGUCCUCCUGCACAUGCAGAGCUAAUUCAUCCUUGAUAGAUAGUGAGAGAACCAAUGGGGGUUUGUGUCAGCAGCACCAACAUGAGGUUCACACCAGGGUCUUCCAAGGUGGCAUGUGGCUUAGAGACAAGACAGAUGUGGUUGCUUUUUGUUGUUGUUGUUGUUGUUUUGAGAUAGGGUCUUAUUCUGUCACUCUGUCACCCAGGCUGGAGUGCAGUGGCAUGAUCUCAGCUUACUGCAACCUCUGCCUCCCAGGCUCAAGUGAGUCUCCUGCCUCAGCCUCCCAAGUAGAUGGGAUUAUAGGCAUGCACCAUGACACCCAGCUAAUUUUUUGUAUUUUUAGUAGAGAGGGGGCUUCAUGAUGUUGGCCAGGCUGGUCUCAAACUCCUGACCUUAAGUGAUCUGCCUGUCUUGGCCUCCCAAAGUGCUGGGAUUACAGGCGUGAGCCACUGCACGCCCAGCCAGAUGUGUUUUUUGUUUUUUUUUUUGCUCUACCCCAAAUCUGUGAGAUGGCAGGGAGGAGGCUCUGGGAAGAGGGAGUGAGGGUUGGGGUAAACCUGUGGAUUGAAUGCUGAUGUAGGUGGUCCCAGGUGCUCCACUGAGAGGAGAUGGACAGUCUGGAUGGUGCAGACAAAACACCUCCAUCCACAUUACCGGUGUAAUUCUCUCUGCUUUCCAGAGCAUCCUUUGUGUGCUGUGGACUGUGAUGAUCUAAUGCUAGUGGAUUACAUCUAAGUAGGCCUUAGUAGAAGCCACCUGCCAGUGGUUCCUCGGAGGCAUUUGGUCCAGAAGCAGAUGAUUUUAGUGCAAAGCACAGACCGUAUGCAGGCCUGAGCAGGUCAGGGGACAGACAGAUCUGGCUGACAUCCUGACCCGCUGGAUAUGGUGGUGUGGCCAUUGCUUGUGGCCACAUUGCAGUCUUGAAUGUCCCCCGUGGAAAUGGGAGACAUUUCCAAGGAUGCCUGCCUGGUCCUCUAGUUUUCUCUUUCUCUGUUCUCUGUCAUCUGCACUUUUUUCCUCUUGUCUUGAUUGCUUGUCCUGUCUCCCCUAGUAGAUACCCCCUCUGACCUCUGCUGCCUUGGGACUGUCGCUGUAUAAAAUAUUGUGAGCUGCCCUCUGCUCCUGUUUAAAAAAAAAAGAAAAAAAUCCUUAGCUCUGGCUAAGCUAGGCACUGAGAAUGAGGCCAGUCAUUCAAAACUUGUCUCUGAGCAUUGAUUAUACUCAUGUAUUAUACUGUUAAGGGGUGAAGGUCGGCUCUGGGGUCAGCUUCCUGGAUUCAAAUCCUAACUCAGAUUAAAGUGAGAGAAUAAUAGCACCAACCUGACAACCUCAAAGUAUCAUUGUAAGGAUAGUGUUAGAUCAUACACUUGAUCACCCGUUAGCACUGUCAGGGCAGUGCUGGGAACAUGAACAUAAACAGGGCAGCCCAGGAGGGAGGUGAAUGGACAGAUGGGCAGUGCCAAUUUGGUAGUGGAUGCAUGCAUCUGGUGGGUUCAGGAGCCUGGAAGACUUAUCCAAAAGCCAUCUUUGCUGGUGUUUCUUCCUGUGUAUUUUCUCUAACCUUCUCCAGCAGUGAUCUGACUUACUUAUGGGUGAACAGUGAAUGCUGCCCAGGCAACUAGAGGUUUAUAGAUGAGAUACUUUAAAUUUUUAAUGAUUCUUAAAAGAGGGAGUGGCUAUUUUUAUGCUUUCCAGAAUGAAUAGCCAAGGGAAACCUAUACAGUUGCAAUAUAAGGAGAAACCUAGACCUGGCCUUAGCCUCUAGGUCCUGGUGCAGAUUCUUAGCACAUAGGGCCUAAAACCUUUGCGAUUUCCUGAGUGAUAGGAGCGUCUUUUGUUUUUCAUAAUGGCAUCUGGGUUUAUGCUAAUGAGGUGACUCAGGGUGGGGGCUGGCCUCAGAGUAACCAAGCACAGGAUUAGAGGGUUGGGGCUAUCAAUCCUACCCACCCCCAGCCUCUGGGUGGGAUGGAGAGGGGCUGGAGAGUGAAUCAAAUCACCAAUAGCCAAUGAUGUAAUCAGUCACGCCUACAUAAUGAAUCCUCCACAAAACCCAUCAACAGUGGGAUUCAGAGAGCUUUGGAGCUGGGGAACACACAUGGAGGUGCUGGGAGGGGGACACGCAGGGAGAGGGCAUGGAAGCCCCGUCCCUCCCCCAAAACUCUCUCCUGUGCAGUGUUUCUUAUUAAUUACGCUGUCCCUGAGUUCUUUCUUUAUUUAUUUAUUCUUUGAGAUGGAGUCUCGCACUGUCGGCCAGGCUACAGUGCAGUGGUGCAAUCUCAGCUCACUGUGACCUCUGCCUCCUGGGUUCAAGCGAUUCUCCUGCCUCAGCCUCCCAAGUAGCUGGGAUUACAGGCGCCCAACACUACGCCUGGCUACUUUUUAAUAUUUUAGUAGAGAUGGUGUUUCAGCAUAUUGCCCUGGCUGGUUGCAAACUCCUGAGCUCAGGCAAUCUGCCGGCCUCAGCCUCCCAAAGUACUGGGAUUACAGGCAUGAGCCACUGCACCUGGCCCGCUGUGCCUGAGUUCUAACCUUUAUAGUAAGUUGGUAAUCCCAAGUAAAAUGCUUUUCUGAGCUCCAUGUGUUCUGGCAAAUCACUCAACCUGAGGUGAGGGCCCUGAUUUGUAAUCAGUGGGAAGAGGCUCAGGUAGCCUGGGAGCCCCAUCUGCAGCGGUGUCUGGAAUGAAGUCAGUUUGGUGGGACUGAGCUCUUAGCCUGUGGGGUCAACUCCAGGCAGUUAGUGUUAGAAUCAGACUGAACUGUAGGACACCCCAUUGGUAUCAGAUAAUCAGAGAAUUGCUGUUGGAAUAACACAUUGGGUGUCAGAAAAAAAACCACAGAAAACUCCCUAAGCAGAUUGGUUGAAAGCAGGCUGACUGCAUGUCAUCUGGGGGUGCGUCUUCCCUCAAGAGCAGGUUUCACAUCUCACUCCCCGGUUGAUUGGACAAGACCCUUCCUGUCUUUAAGUUCUGUUUUCUUCCUCCCUUUGUCUCUGCGAAGAAAAUCAGCUGCAUGAAAAUGAUCAUCUGGGCAGAAAUUGGUGCUGUUGGAGCUGCGCAGAGGUGCCCUCCUGUGCCCCCUGGCCCCCACUGGGCCGUGUCUCCUCCUGCCUGUUGCAAUCAGCCCUCAUCCGACUCUUUUUGGAAGUGAUUAAAACAUAACUGUCAUAGCUCUGGGGGAGACAGGCUGCAGAUCCUGAUUAUAAUUCAGAAGGAUCUAAAGGAAAAGUAAUUUUUUAAAAAAAUUCUGGUUAAAGCAAAAGCUUGUAAGACGUGUGAUGGAGUGGUAUGCAUGAGCACAAUUAAUGUAUGUGCUAGACAUCUGCCCACAGGAUUCGGGGUUGGCAAAUGAGUGCGUCCCUAAAAAUAAUGACUAGUGCUAUCUUUAAAAAGUCUUUUGUGGCAUAGCAGAUUAAGAUGGAUGGCCUGGGAAGUACAGUGGCAGCAUGCGCUGUGGUAUCCAGGAAUAAGUUGUACCUCCUCGGGGUGGCGGUGGAACUGGGCCGUGAACAGCUUUCGCUUCCCAGAGAGGACUGCCAUGGCCUGCUGCAUGGAAUUUGAUUUUAAUCUUUCUGUUUGUUAUUUUUGGGUUUGGUCUUAGACCGGGUUUGAGAUCCAGAUGUGAUUUUUUUUUUUUUCUUUUUUCAGUUUUCUUUAUAGCAGCAAUGUUGUCUCUUGUGUGUUUCCUAACAAGACUGAGCUCUGAGCAAGACAGCCUCUGGAACCAAAUGUCUGCAUGCCCAGGAGACCUUUCUAGAAAGUCCAUAGGCAGUUCUGCAGUUUGAGCCCCUUCUGUGGGUCUGUGCCUGCUUUAGCUGCUGGAGAUAUGGCACUGAACAAAACACAGGCCCCACCUGGGAGGAGCUGCCAGGCCAGCUGGCGAGACAGACCUGAUGAGUGAAAAUGAGAUCACAUGGCCUGCAUGCUCCACAGAAGACUAAGGCAGGAAACAGGACUAUUUUCUCUCCACUGAAUUAUCCUGGUAUCCUUGUUAAUAUCAGUUGACUGUGACGUGAGACUUAUCUUGGACGCCCCUUUCUGUUCCAUGGGUCUGUGUCAGCCUUGAUGUCAGUCCCACAGUUUCGAUGACUGGAGCUUUGUAGUCAAGUUUGAAACAGUGGAGUGUGGGUCCUCCAGUUUUGUUCAUCUUUUUCAGAUUGUUUUGGCAAUCCAGGAGUCCCUUGAAUUUACAUAUGCAUUUUAUUUUAUUUUAAUUAUUAUUAUUAUUAUUAUUAUUAUUAUUAUUUUUAGAUGGAGUCUUUCUCUGUUGCCCAGUCUGGAGUGCAGUGGUGCAAUCUGGGCUCACUGCAACCUCCGCCUCCCAGGUUCCAGUGAUUAUCCUGCCUCAGCCUCUCAAGUAGCCAGAAUUACAGGCAUGCACCACCAUGGCCAGCUAAUUUUUGUAUUUUUAGUAGAGACAGGGUUUCACUAUGUUGGCCAGGCUGGUCUCAAUCUCCUGACCUUAAGUGAUCCACCAGCCUUGGCCUCCCAAAGUGCUGGGAUUACAGGCGUGAGCCAUUGCACCCGACCUAUAUAUGCAUUUAAGACCUGCUUGUCAAGUUCUUUAGAAGCCAUCUGGAUAGUGAUUAAUUUGUAAAAAUGAUAAUUAUUAUCUUUUUGAACUGUCAGAGUAAUAUAUGCUGCUGAAAACCUGGAAGACAGAAAAAUCCAACAGAAGGCAGGGCUAAUUUUUUUUUUUUCAUAUAUGUCCCUUCAGGCUUCUCUGAGUUUUUCAUUUUUCCUACACAAAUUUGGAAUCAUUCCAGAGCUAGUAAGCAUUUAGGGCCACAUUUGGAUUAGUACCUUGGUAUAAAUUAGAGCUGGAAUUGCUGGGUCAUAUAGUGUGCACAGGGCUAGGGACUGACUUAUUUUCCUUUCUGAAUGAAGACUCUGAGGUCCAGAGAGGUUAAGUGAGUGACUCAAGGUCACACAGCUAAAACUCUGUUGGAGCUGGGUCUUAAUGCAGACCCUACGUAUUCAUGCCAUGCUGUAUUUACACAGGCGUGUACACCAGCAGGUCGGGAUUUUAGGGGGUGUUUUAAAAUUCUACCUGCAAAACUUUUUUUUUUUUUUUUUUUUGAGACAGGGUCUUGCUCUGUCACCCAGGCUGGAGUGCAGUGUCACCAUCACGGCUCACUGCAGCUUCCUCCCAGGCUCAAGCAAUGCUUCUGCCUCAGACCCCCGAGUAGCUGGGACUACAGGUGUGCACUGCCACACCUGGCUAAUUUUUAAAUUUUUUUGUAGAGAUGGGGUCUCAUUUUAUUGCCCAGGGUAGUCUCAAACUCCUGGGCUCAAAAAAUCAUCGUGCAUCAGCCUCCCAAAGUGCUAGGAUUGCAGGUGUGAGCCGCUGCACCAGGAAAACCCAUUUUAAAGCCAUUAGCCAAAAAUUAUAAAAGACAUGCAAAAUAUUACGAGUAGUCACUUAUCUAGUAUUUGCGGCAUUUCUCGGGCUUGGGGCUUUCCUGGGAGCUCUGAGGAGGUGGAAGAGGCUCUGUCCCUGGCCUUACCUGGCUGUCAAGGGCUGAGUGGUUGGUGGAGGGAAGAGGUCUGCAGCCUGGGAGGCUGCAGGUCAGAAGGAGGUCAGCCGGGGAGCUGGGAGGAUCAUGGGGAACCUGUGGUGGAAAUCAGGGUGGCGAGAGAGUGGAAGCAGGCAGAGGAGGGCUUUGAAGACCAAAAAGGGUAGUUAGGAUUGCUGCUCUGUGUGUCUGUAAACUUAGUGUUGUCUCUCAAAUUUAAAUGACAUGCUUUGAAAACAAAAAAACAAACAAAAACCAAACCCAUAUAAUCUCACUAAGUGGCCAGAGCAAGUUCCUGGGGGGGCAGAGCAUAGAUGCAGCAGUCUGGGUUCUGUGGCUGGGGGCAUUGGCUUGGGGUCAGUGGCUGGGUCAGUCUUCAAGAGCCACCCUGGGUGGCACUCCAAGUCUCUUGGUCUGGGGGGAAUACCCUGACCCGAGCGGUUUCACGGCCCCCUCCCCCCUCAGCCUGGGGGAGAGUCCAGGGUCGGCCCUGUCCCCCUCCCCCCACUCCUGUCACUAUCAGUCCCCUGUGCUCAGCUCACUGGCAGGGUUCCUCCUGGCUGUCCCCUCUGCCUCCAGCGCUCUUUCCUUCAGGUGUCCACGCAGCUCGUCCUCACCCUUUUCUGUCUCUGCUCAGAUGCCACCUGAGGCUCCCAAAACAGGGUCUCACUCUGUCGCCCAGGGUGGAGUGCAGUGGUGCAAUCACAGCUCACUGCAUCCUUGACUUCCAAGGCUCAAGCGAUCCUCCUGCCAGCGAGCUUGUUACAAUUCCUGUACCAAAACGGAUACAUUGUUACUAAGGCCCUGCACCAACACAGAUAGAUUGUUACUAAAUAAGGCCCUACACCAGAACGGAUACAUUGUACAUUGUUACUAAAGCCCUGCCCCAACACUGACACAUUGUUACUAACUAAGGCCCUGUACCAACGCAGAUACAUUGUUACUAAGGCCCUGUACCAACACAGAUACAUUGUUACUAACUAAGGCCCUGCACCAACACGGAUACAUCCCAUUGCUAACUACGGAGGUGCUUUAUUCAGAUAUCCUCAGUGUCACCUGCUCUCCUUUGGCCGUCUCAGGGUUCCUCCUAGGACACCACAUUGCAUUCAGUCCUGAGGCUUCUCUGGCCUCUGACAGUUUCUCAGACUUUCCUUGUUUCUGUUGACCUUGACAGUUUUGAGGAGUACUGCUCAGAGAGUUUGUAGACUGUCCCUCUGUUGGGGUUUGUCUGAUGCUUUCUUC